GCGACGGGUGAGUACACGUAAGCAACCUACCCUAAAGACGAGGAUAACCAUUGGAAACAGUGGCUAAGACUGGAUAGGAAGAUAAAAGGCAUCUUUUAUCUUUUAAAAGACCUAGUAAUAGGUAUGCUUUAGGAGGGGCUUGCGCCAUAUUAGUUAGUUGGUAGGGUAAUGGCCUACCAAGACGAUGAUGUGUAGCUGGACUGAGAGGUUGAACAGCCACAUUGGGACUGAGACACGGCCCAAACUCCUACGGGAGGCAGCAGUAGGGAAUUUUCGGCAAUGGAGGAAACUCUGACCGAGCAACGCCGCGUGAAUGACGAAGUACUUCGGUAUGUAAAGUUCUUUUAUCCAGGAAGAAAAGCAAAUGGCGAACCAUUUGUUUGCCGGUACUUGAUGAAUAAGCCCCGGCUAAUUAUGUGCCAGCAGCCGCGGUAAGACAUAAGGGGCAAGUGUUAUCCGGAAUUAUUGGGCGUAAAGGGUGCGUAGGCGGUCUAGUAAGUCAGUGGUGUAAUGGCAACGCUUAACGUUGUCCGGCUAUUGAAACUGCUAAACUUGAGUUAGAUAGAGGCGAGUGGAAUUCCAUGUGUAGCGGUAAAAUGCGUAAAUAUAUGGAGGAACACCAGAGGCGUAGGCGGCUCGCUGGGUCUUAACUGACGCUGAGGCACGAAAGCGUGGGGAGCAAACAGGAUUAGAUACCCUGGUAGUCCACGCCGUAAACGAUGAGUACUAAGUGUCGGGUUAAACCGGUACUGAAGUUAACACAUUAAGUACUCCGCCUGAGUAGUACGUACGCAAGUAUGAAACUUAAAGGAAUUGACGGGACUCCGCACAAGCGGUGGAUCAUGUUGUUUAAUUCGAAGAUACCCGAAAAACCUUACCAGGUCUUGACAUGUUUUUGCAAAAUGAUAGUAAUAUCGUGGAGGUUACCAGAAACACAGGUGGUGCAUGGUUGUCGUCAGCUCGUGUCGUGAGAUGUUAGGUUAAGUCCUAAAACGAGCGAAACCCUUAUCGUUAGUUGCCAGCACGUUAUGGUGGGGACUUUAACGAGACUGCCAAUGAUAAAUUGGAGGAAGGUGAGGAUCACGUCAAAUCAGCAUGCCCCUUAUGACCUGGGCUACAAACGUGAUACAAUGGCUGUUACAAAGGGUAGCUGAAACGCAAGUUCUUGGCCAAUCCCCAGAAACAGUCCCAGUCCGGAUUGAAGUCUGCAACUCGACUUCAUGAAGUUGGAAUCGCUAGUAAUCGCGAAUCAGCAUGUCGCGGUGAAUACGUUCUCGGGGUUUGUACACACCGCCCGUCAAACCACGAAAGUUGGCAAUACCCCAAAACGGUAGCCUAACUCGUUAUCGAGAG
rnacentral:rRNA from 1 species